rnacentral:rRNA from 1 species
CCCCCAGUUCGGACUGCAGCCUGCAACCCGGCUGCACGAAGCCGGAAUCGCUAGUAAUCGCGGAUCAGAACGCCGCGGUGAAUACGUUCCCGGGUCUUGUACACACCGCCCGUCACACCAUGGGAGCCUGGAAUGCCCGAAGCCGGUGGCCGAACCGAGAGGGCGGAGCCGCCUAAGGCAGGCCCGGUGGACUGGGGUGAAGUCGUAACAAGGUAGC